rnacentral:misc_RNA from 1 species
AACCAUAGAAACCUGCGGAGUACCUGCGGAGGGAUCAUUAACAAAUUGUCCACAAAUAAUGGAUAAUUUUAUCCAUAUCCACCUUGUGUGAAUCCAUUGAAGUGUUUGUUGGCAGGUUAACACUCUCGUUUGGAGAGCUGUGUGGGUAGUGUUGCCCGGCCUGCCAAUUUUAUGUUUAAACAUGUCUAAAUAGUACAGUCUGAAACAUAUAAACUUUAAAUAAAUACAACUUUCAGCAAU